rnacentral:lncRNA from 1 species
UCCAGGAAAGACAUAUUUAUCGGGGCCCUGAGAACCUUAGUUGGUCUCAAACCACUCAGUAGUGUGUUCCCAGUGUGUCACAGUAUUUUCUCUGGAAAAUCUAUUUUAUUUUUCUUGUAGGAGUUCUAUCCUGAUGACGUUUAUAGAACACCGUGUGGUUUCGACUAGACAGUGAAACCAGGGCCAACCCAAGUGUUCUCUCUUGUCCACAGCCAGGUGAUGACACCUUCCCCAAGAGGCUGCAGGUUUGAGCAGAAAACGUACCUGGAAGCAUCAAAAGAUUCCUAGCAGAAUUUCAUCCGACUCUGUGGCUGUCUUCUCUCAGGGCCUCAUUAGUGAAGAUGUGGCCUCUGCAAAGUGGCUGCCAGGCGUCCUGCUGAUUUCAUUCCCUGCUGGUGUAGUUGGAUCUUGAUGAGGACUGGAGGGAAAACAAAGGAAAACAAUCUGUGACCCAAAGCCCUUGUGUCAUUUGGGAGAAAAAUGUUCCCAAUGGGACCUUCAGGACUGAACU